UACGUAGGGUGCGAGCGUUAAUCGGAAUUACUGGGCGUAAAGUGUGCGCAGGCGGCCGAGCAAGUCGAGUGUGAAAGCCCCGGGCUUAACUUGGGAAUUGCGCUCGAAACUACUUUGCUGGAGUGUGGCAGAGGAAGGUGGAAUUCCACGUGUAGCGGUGAAAUGCGUAGAGAUGUGGAGGAACACCAAUGGCGAAGGCAGCCUUCUGGGCCAACACUGACACUGAGGCACGAAAGCGUGGGGAGCAAACAGG
rnacentral:rRNA from 1 species